UACGAAGGGGGCUAGCGUUGCUCGGAUUGACUGGGCGUAAAGGGCGCGUAGGCGGUUCGUACAGUCAGACGUGAAAUCCUGGGCUCAACCUGGGGCUGCGUUUGAUACGUGCGGACUUGAGUGCGGAAGAGGGUCGUGGAAUUCCCAGUGUAGAGGUGAAAUUCGUAGAUAUUGGGAAGAACACCGGUGGCGAAGGCGGCGACCUGGUCCGAUACU
rnacentral:rRNA from 1 species